AACAAGGUCUCCGUUGGUGAACCAGCGGAGGGAUCAUUAUCGAGUUAUUCAACUCCCAAACCCUAUGUGAACUUACCACUUGUUGCUUCGGCGCGCGCUUCGGCGCCGCCGAGGACACUUAAACUCUUUGUUUUUAUAAGCAUUUCUGAGUGGCCGAAAGGCAAAAAUACAAAUGAAUCAAAACUUUCAACAACGGAUCUCUUGGUUCUGGCAUCGAUGAAGAACGCAGAGAAAUGCGAUAAGUAAUGUGAAUUGCAGAAUUCAGUGAAUCAUCGAAUCUUUGAACGCACAUUGCGCCCGCCAGCAUUCUGGCGGGCAUGCCUGUUCGAGCGUCAUUUCAACCCUCGAGCCCGACUCUUUUGAGGACGGCUCGGCGUUGGGGGACGGCAGACUCCCCCCGGCAUCUCGCCGGGGACGCCGCCCCCGAAAUCUAGUGGCGGCCCUCCGAGGCGACCUCUGCGUAGUAACUUGUUCUCGCACCGGAAAGCUCAGAGCGGCCACGCCGUAAAACCCCAACUUUUUUCAGGUUGACCUCGAAUCAGGUAGGACUACCCGCUGAACUUAAGCAUAUCA
rnacentral:rRNA from 1 species